rnacentral:rRNA from 1 species
GAUGAACGCUGGCGGCGUGCUUAACACAUGCAAGUCGAACGAAGCUGUUAAAAGGAAGUCUUCGGAUGGAAUUUUAACAGACUUAGUGGCGGACGGGUGAGUAACGCGUGGAUAACCUGCCUUAUACAGGGGGAUAACGGAGAGAAAUUUCCGCUAACACCGCAUAAGACCACAGCACCGCAUGGUGCAGGGGUAAAAUAUUAAUAGGUAUAAGAUGGAUCCGCGUCCGAUUAGCUAGUUGGUGAGGUAGAGGCUCACCAAGGCGACGAUCGGUAGCCGGCCUGAGAGGGUGAACGGCCACAUUGGGACUGAGACACGGCCCAAACUCCUACGGGAGGCAGCAGUGGGGAAUAUUGGACAAUGGGGGAAACCCUGAUCCAGCGACGCCGCGUGAGUGAAGAAGUAUUUCGGUAUGUAAAGCUCUAUCAGCAGGGAAGAAAA